ACAGCUGCCUGACAUUCCCUAUUCAGCUUAGGGGAGCAAUGAGUUAAGACCAAAAUAAAGCAAGACAAAGGCUCCUUAUGUUACUGUGUAGCUGGCGUUGGUCUUCAAACUACCUGGCGAUGCAGUUCUCCCAGGAGAUGACUUUAAAGGACUCAGACCACAAAUAUUUAAUGACAAAUAGACUUGGUUGACAAGAUAAAGUCCUACAAGGAUGGGUCAUUCACAAAUGCACUGGUAUUCUUAAAAGCAGAUCAGAAAAAAUGGAUGCAGCAGUGAAUUUGCCUGGAAAGGGAGCCUGGAGUAACCUGACUUUCUUUAAAGUUAGGUUUAAGAUAUAAUUUACAUAAGUAAAAUUUUUAUUGCAUAGUUGGUUGAAUUUUUACAAAUACAUUCAGUCAUGUAACCACCAUCACAAUGAAGUGUGCUCAGCUCCCUGAUAAGGCUUGUUGGCAGGUGAAUCCUGAUGCGCCUCCACCUACCUUCUCAUCACUGUUGUUUCCUGCGACUUCCAGCGCUGUUUAUUGCAUCUUUAAUCUGCUGAUCCUCA